GGGAAUGUGGCUUAGUGGUAGAGUGCUUGCCUAGCACGCAUGAAGCCCUGGGUUCAAUUCCUCAGUACCU
rnacentral:tRNA from 1 species